GUAAAAGUAUAUCCUAUAAAACACGGGCUGUUAGUAACCUGAUCCAAGAUAAGACAGAUAAAAGAGGAGCUUCAAAUAAAUAUCAGUUAUAGCUCCAACCUACUUUGUGCAACCUGCUUUAUUUACAAUCCUGCCAGACUUCCUGUCUAAGGCUUCCUGUUUAAACAGCUCAGAGCGACUAAUAGGUGUAGAGAAGACUGAGUUUCCUGCUGACAGACCAAUUUCACACACCAAGCAGGGGGAAGUACCUGGUCCACUUCGACCUCUGGAUAUCAAGCUGUCCUCCCAGUUCUGCCUGUCAUGCUCCUCACUGCUUGGCAGACGAUUCCAGUUAAGGAGCUGGAAGAAACUCUCCAGUAUCGUUCUGAUCUCCACUUGUCGCUCUGCGGGGCUGCUGGAGUGCAGGAGGUGGAUCAUUGCAGUCAGGCACUGCAGUGUCAGCCGUGGGAGCAAGGCGUCUUUUGGUUCAGCGGAGGUCCUGCAGCACCAUGCUCGCAGGACGGAGAACAGAUCCUCAACAGAGCUGGGGAUUUUGGAAUUUUUCGAUGAUGAAGAGGACAAAUAAGAUGGAUGACCUUUGCUCCACUAAUGACAGCACCCUGGAGGUGAACCAAUCGCAGUCUGAGGAGCUCUGGGAUCUGUUCGCUUUCCUGGAGACUUUCUGUGAAUGAGUUUAAACCAAGAGAUAAUGUUAUCUACUACAAGCUAUUGUUUUCAAAAAAUAUAGAUAUAAAUAAGACUGAAGAAGAAGAGAAUACUGAAUCAGAGCUAGCAAAAUAGCACGCUAAUAAAUUUGAGUUUUUCUUCUGUAUAGCAUCUGUACUUUUUUCUUUUCCUCUAAUAAUGCAAGCUUGGACUAAAACCAACCGCUGUCAUUUGAAAUAAUAAAGAUAAAGAUGGAAUAAAAAAUAA